GAAAUAUUUGAACAAAAAUGACUGUAAUUACCGCGUUUAAUAGUUUAUUUUGUACGAGGCUCUGGUGUGUGUGAUUAACAAAAGAAACCCUUCCUCUUUUUCCCUCUGUUGAGAGCAACCCCGAUUUGGUGAAAAUUAGAAUCGCAGCGCAUACUGCAGCACCUCUUGAAGCAGAUUUGCCAGAGCUGCAUUGCAUCCUCUCCUUUUUAGACAAGUUCAAAAUGGGCUUUCAUCCCCGAAGGAGAUUUUUUGGUUACUGCUGGCUACACAGAGGGGAAAAAAUUGUUAAACUUGUAUGAGUCGUGACCCUGAGAAUAAGCGACUCCCUGCCCAUCAUGUGAGAGCAGCAGAAGGCCGGGUAGGCCGUGCCUUGCAUAUGCUUGCCUGAGCUCUGCGAUGCUAAGCAUCCUUAUCACACUUUUAAAACUUACGGAUGGACAGAGCAGUGGAAAACAGCAGUGUGCAAGGAGCCAUUUCACACCGAGGGGUUUGAAAAACGUGCCCGGAUCUUUUUUGCAAAUACGUGUAAAAUUGACACUCCCCCCAGAUCAGCAGCCAUUUACACAAAGGUCUGGCCCUUAAAAUCAGUGACAUUUAUGUAGCGAUUGGAUUCUCCAUCCCUUUGGAGGAGCAGCGCUGCAGCGCUACAGGUCAGUACGUGUGGGUGGCACAGCAGUGCUCGUGGCAGCCCACAUCUGAGACCGACGCAGAGCAAAUCAUUUGCCCAUAGAGCAUAAGAAACGUCACAGGCCAUUUGAAAAAUGCAGAGAGAAAAGAAGGGAGAACAACAGCAAUAAGGGACUGUUUGACAAAAACCUAUUCAUGUGCGCAACCCAUUACCUCACCACAUACCUAAGCCGGAGCCACCGGGUUUUGCUUUUGUCUUAAGAAGAGAUCUGAGGGAAAUUUUCGGGAUGCCUUUCCUAUGUGUUCGAAGCAAAACUGCGAGACAAAUAUGCCUCUAAACGAGAGAUAAACCACUUAAUGCUGCAACUCCAACUUUAGAAAUCAUGAAAUCUUGAAUCGGUGCCUCAGCAGAAAAGGAAAGACUCAGAUUUGCAGAUGGCAAGUCGCUCGCUGCGAGCUGAAAGGGUCUAUACUAUAAUGGUAAAAAACAUGACUAUACACACAGUCUUCCUCUGUCCAUCUGCCACGGUUAUAGUCUAGUGUGGGGGUGAUUUUACUUAAAUUGGGACUGUUUGCAGGCUGAGUUCUCAUUUCUGCAAUCAGUAGGCUUGUUACGAAAAGAGUAAAUAGGUUUUAAACAACAACAACUGCUGUCUUGGUGCUGUGUGACGAAAUCAUUGCAAUAGGCUCCCACUGAAGAAAUCUACAUACGUCUGCUGCUGGUCUGCAUGGAAUCUCAUCCUGCAACUGUGAGUGUACAUCUAUGAAUGGAGGACUUGGGAACCUUCACGAUGCUUGCAAGUUGCAGAAGAGUGGUAACAACCAGAAAGACCAAUAAUGAAAUAGGAGAAAUAAAUUAAUAAUAGGGAAUGAGUAAUGAAAAUGGAUAGAUAUUAAUAUUUAAAGGCCAUGCGAAGAGUCAUCUUGUUUUACUCACUUCUUAUUCACCUUCAUCCAGGCAAGCUGAAUACGAGCUUGCCACGGUUUCCCCCACGCCCACUUUGCAAGAAAAAAUGUCAAUGGGCAGAAGUGUGUGUUUAUCAAGGUACAGAAGCACUGAAAACUCAUCAUGAACCAUGACUAUAAACUCCAAAUCAUUCACUUUUCCCCUUACUUGAGACUCACCAAGAAGAAGACAUACAGACAGAGAGCUGGUUUUGCAGAGGGACUUGCAUGCGUCUGGAAGGAGCUCUUGUGCCUCCUGCCAUCACCUUCCCCCUUCACGUCCCACGUCCUGCGUUGUGACACUGCUCCCGGGAGCUGUGCUCCUUACCAGCUGAUCUCACAUCUCCGGAAAACAAGAUGUGUGCAAACUGGAAACUCGAGCUUAUCUGGGCAAUAAACAAUUUCGAUCCAUGCUUUCUGUGCACCGAAGAAGCAAAAAAUAGGCAACUACCACGAAGGCUUAAUUCUGCUUUUCAUCGCACUAUAACUGCAUUGGUGAAGGGGGAAGAGAGCCUGGCUUAUCGUUUGCCAGCACCCUGCAAGGCAUACUUCUGGCUGUAUGUCACCUGCCCAGCCUAAACACGAACAAGGCCUAGAAGCAUAUAUGUAUAGAUGGAUGGCCCAUCACAUAUAUACAUAUCUAUAUCCAUCCUUUCUCCUUUAGAAUUUAGUAGUGACUUUGAUUUUGUCAUAGUUCAACACUUUGCCUCUAUCAAAAUGUUAUUGAUAUAAUGCAAUCCUGUUGUUCUGAAGUCACUGAAAAUGGUGCUCAGAAGGACUGGAAAGAAUUAUUUGCUGUAUACCUGCACAUAAACAUCACUGUAUUUCUUUAAUUGAAGAAAAUGAAUAGGCUAAUUUUACAGUCAACAGAGAUGGGCUGGUGUCUCUGAACGGAGAUUCAUCUUACCCCAGGACAGCUGCCUCAGACAUGGAGAUGGUUUGUUCAUUAGAGGCGCCCAGCUCCCUCGCAGGAGGCUGGUUCAGACCAAGCGCCUUCCUCCUGGAGACCUACAAGAGGUUACUCUUGUAUCCAACUCCCUUC
rnacentral:lncRNA from 1 species